rnacentral:lncRNA from 1 species
CUUCCAUGAAAACUCUGAGGAUUUGUCAACAGAGUGAUUUAUCCACCUUUUCAGUUUGGAACUCCAUAUCUGACCAAGGAAGGCAGUAACAACUGUCAGAGAAGCCGAAGAGAAUGGCUGGGCUUGAUCCUCUUUCAGGAAUCUGUUCUUUCUAUUAAUUUGGUUAAGAUCCCAUGUCCCUCCUCUAGGAUAAUCUCCUUCCCAGUCCAGAACACAAGGCUCCUUGGUUUCUACUCUAUGGAUGGCACCCCCUUGGAGCUGUGCGGUGUGGAGUGCCUGCAGCCUCAUUCACUAGGGCUCUUUCCUCUACCGUGCCUUCAGCAGAGAUCAUUGGACAACUUUGCUGAAGCUAUGAUAAAACUUAAAAACAAAAAACAAAAACAAAACAAAACAAAAAAAAACAACCCAAAACAACAACAACAACAACAACAAACUGCUGUUGCAUUAAGCUCACCAUGCACUUCAGGCCAAACCCUUUAGCAUGGCAGGAAGUUCAAGUCCAAAGCAAUACUCCCAUGGUUUCAUCUGCUGUCAGUCCUCAGGGCUACCCCGCCUACAUCUGUUCACUCAGACUUCAUUGUGCUUAAGCUUCUUGUGCCUAGAGUUGACUCACGUAUUUCUAUAAGCCCGUUUUAAAGUUUCUGGACAAGAAUAAUUACCCACCUCUGUGAAUAUUUAAUGAACUAUCAUUUAUCUGCCUGUAUACCUUUGGAUAUUGGUUACAUUGCUACUGUAAUUAUGUCUGUGGAUGUUGUUCCUAGCAAACAACCCUACUUUCCAGUUGUUUUUUUCUUCACCUUAGAACAUGAGUGGAGUGCACCUCUUUAUAUCUCAAGGUUGGUUCUCCUAUCCAGCGUGGCUGGCACGGAGCCGCUUUUCUCACUGGAAACGUUAGUACAUGAUAUCCAUUCGCCAUGCCUUCUGGGUAGUGGGGUACGGCGUUCUCAGAAAGACAUCAGGAUACUGGAUAACUACCCAUCACUUCACUCUCCCAAAUCUCUCAAGGUCUCCAGUGUUAUAGAACUUGACACAUGCUGGAU